UACGAAGGGGGCUAGCGUUGUUCGGAAUUACUGGGCGUAAAGCGCACGUAGGCGGCUUUGUAAGUUAGAGGUGAAAAGCCCGGGGCUCAACCCCGGAAUUGCCUUUAAGACUGCAUCGCUUGAAUCCGGGAGAGGUGAGUGGAAUUCCGAGUGUAGAGGUGAAAUUCGUAGAUAUUCGGAAGAACACCAGUGGCGAAGGCGGCUCACUGGACCGGUAUUGACGCUGAGGUGCGAAAGCGUGGGAGCAAACAGG
rnacentral:rRNA from 1 species